rnacentral:sRNA from 1 species
AAUAGAGGAAGGCAACCUAAGUUCGCGACGUCCUGUCGCAACGGUUGCAUGACCCACAUCGUGUGGG